CUGCGAGCCUGCGGGCGCGAUGACGGGCAGCGACCCAGGUGCAGGGGUGGCCGCCGCUGAUGGCGUCGUUGAAGUAAAUCAGGGGCACGGAGGGGCCCAGCCGGCGGCGGGGAUUUGGAGAAGAGAGGCGACGUCGUACCAGUUGGCCGGAAAGAAGAUGUUCCAUGCUAGAGGUCGAUCGGGAGAAGGACGAUGGCUCCCGGAAUCUUGCUACUAUGCUGGAUGGGGUUCAAAGUGCCAUAAGGGGAUGAUCCAGCGAAGCCUGCAAGUGCCGUCCAUUGUGGGGUGGUCUCAGGAAGCCUGCCGUCCAUUGCGAAUUUUUUGUAUUUUUUCUCUAUCCCAAAAUUGUGGCCACCAAUUUAGCUGCAGAUUUUCUCCCAGAUUUAAUUUUUGAACAUGUACUUUGUCAUAUCAAAUUGCAAAGAUUUGUUUCCAGAUUUGCACUGUUUUCAGUUUUCUUGUGUACCCAUUGUAGGUAUGCACGGCAACCAGGCACUAGAGAUUCUUUUGGUCCCAAAUUUUUAUAUUCAGAUUUGUUCAUAAAUAUGUAUUUCUGGAUGGAUAUCAGAUCAAUGUGCAAAAGAAGUGUUUUCCAAUCUGUUCUA